rnacentral:rRNA from 1 species
AUGUCGUCGCCGUCGCGCCGGAGCUCCAGCCCCGAGAGCAACAUCGACGGCGGCAGCGGCAGCGGCUCCGCCGGUGACGAGCGCAAGCGCAAGAGGAUGCUGUCCAACAGGGAGUCGGCGAGGCGGUCCCGCGCUCGCAAGCAGCAGCGGAUGGAGGAGCUCAUCGCCGAGGCCAGCCGCCUCCAGGCCGAGAACAAGCGCGUGGAGGCCCAGAUCGGCGCCUACACGACCGAGCUGACCAAGGUGGACGGCGAGAACGCCGUGCUCCGCGCGCGCCACGGCGAGCUCGCCGGCCGGCUGCAGGCGCUCGGCGGCGUCCUGGAGAUCUUCCAGGUGGCCGGCGCGCCCGUGGACAUCCCGGAGAUCCCUGACCCGCUGCUCCGCCCAUGGCAGUCCCCGUUCGCGCCCCAGCUGGCCACCGCCGGCGGCAUGCCUGACGCGUUCCAGUUCUGA